GGGUCGGGAUAGAACUGGUACUGUGGUUCGCUCGAGAUACCUCAAUGCUACAGCAGUUUUACUCGAGUAGGACAGUUGCAAGGCGCGCGUUCAGCGGGUGUCCCACGGUCCAGUGAGACGUUUGGAACAAUUUUGUAGUCUGGGUGCAUGUGUGUUACAAGAGCCCCGUCCUUACCUCGAGGUCGCGUUCCCGUUCCGAAGCGGUACUGAUCGAUGCAAGGAGUGUAGACCGAGGGUGCUGCAGCCACCUCGUCGUCGGCGUGGUCAAGUAUAGAGCCCGAACCUUAAAGAUGUGCUCUUAGUGUCCCGUUACUCUAUUUGGACUUGUGGAAUAGAGAUCUGCCACAGUUUCAAUACCUUCUUGCGAAUCGUCUACUCGGUUCACGGUAUACGUUGACCACUAAACUUGAGCUUCCCGAAUCAAGAGUUCCUUUGUUCAUUCAUGUAAACAACUAACGAAAAGCGAAAUGAAUGGUGAAAGUGACAAAAGAACGAG
rnacentral:rRNA from 1 species